UAUUUUAUAAAUAUUUAAAAACACAAUUUUCUUUAACAUUCCCCCACUUGCUUCAAAUAUUUAUAAAACCAUCAUACAAACUUUUUGUAGCUAUAUAGAAGUUGCUUGAGCUGUAGAUCCUCAAACAACAAAUCCAUCUACACAUAUGAUCCAUUCACUCAAUGGCAUCAACCACACACAUUACCACGCUCAUCAAUUGUUGUGACGUAUUGCAUGAUCAUCAACUAUAUCAUGAACUUCACCUACAUGCAUGUAGAUUAGUGGCCUUUCUCUCUCUCGUUAGUGUCUUCCUAAAAGCAUCGGACAAUCACACCGUGAUACAUACAUCACUAAAAGAAUCAUUGCCACGUAAAAAAUGUGAAUAACCAUCAAUACAACGAAUCAUGCCAUGAUCCCAUAAGGAUCCUCAAACUAUCUAAACUAGCCGUCGUAAAGUGGAAAACGGUGUCU
rnacentral:lncRNA from 1 species